rnacentral:miRNA from 1 species
AACUUUGUGAUGACAACGAAG